rnacentral:lncRNA from 7 species
CACCUCACCCCCCCAGAUGUCACCUAUAGGGCUGUCACCCCCCCAGAGGUCACCUAUGGGGCUGUCACCCCCCCCCAGUGUCACCUAUGGGGUUGUCCCCCCCCAGAUGUCACCUCACCCCCCCCAGGUGGCACCUAUGGGGCUGUCAGCCCCCCAAGUGUCACCGGGGAUGGGGGGAUGGGGGGGUCACCGCCCCACAAGUGGCAGCGAUGGGGACUGCCGCCCCCCGGUGGCACCUAUGGGGUCGUCACCCCCCCACCUCCUCCCCCCCACAUGGCACCUGUGGGCUUUGGCAGCCCCAGAUGUCGCCUCACCCCCCCAAGUGUCACCUAUAGGGCUGUCACCCCCCCCAAAGGUCACUUAUGGGGUUCUCACCCCCUCAAGUGUCACCUAUGGGGCUGUCAGCCCCCAGAUGUCACCUCACCCCCCCCAGAUGGCACCUAUGGGGCUGCCACCCCCCCCAGAGAUCACUUAUGGGGCUGUCACCCUCCCCCAGAGGUCACUUAUGGGGCUGUCACCCCCCCCAAGUGUCACCUAUGGGGCUGUCACCCCCCCCAGAUGUCACCUCACCCCCCCCAGGUGGCACCUAUGGGGCUGCCACCCCCCCCAGAGAUCACAUAUGGGGCUGUCACCCUCCCCCAGAGGUCACUUAUGGGGCUGUCACCCCCCCCAAGUGUCACCUAUGGGCUGUCCCCCCCCAGAUGUCACCUCACCCCCCCCAGGUGGCACCUAUAGGGCUGUCAGCCCCCCCAGAGGUCUCCUAUGGGGUUGUCACCCCCUAAGUGUCACCUAUAGGGCUGUCUCCCCCCCCCCAAGUGUCACCUAUGGGGAUGUCCCCCCCAGAUGUCACCUCACCCCCCCAGGUGGCACCUAUAGGGCUGUCACCGCCCCCCAGAUGUCACUUAUGGGGUUUGUCACCCCCCAAGUGGCAUCUAUGGGGAUGUCACCCCCCCAAGUGUCCCCUAUGGGGCUGUCACCCCCCUGAUGUCACCUCAGCCCCCUCAGACGUCACCUAUAGGGCUGUUACCCCCCCAGGUGUCCCCUAUGGGGCACUGUCACCCCCCAGGUGUCCCCUAUGGGGUUUGUCCCUCCCUCCCCCCCCCCCCCCGCCUGUCGCGACACGCCCCGCCCCUCCUGUCGCGACUCGGCCACCUGUCACCAGCGCCACCACCCCGCCGAGCCGCCCCGCUGAGCCCAUGGCGGCGGCCGGAAGUGAGCUGCGAGGCGCCGGAAGCGAGCAGCGAGCGGCAGCCGGAAGCGUGCGGAGAGCGGCGGCCGGAAGUGAGCUGGGAGCGGCGCUCUAUCCCCACCGCGCCUCUGUGGUCGGUCCCCCUCGGUCCGUCCCCACGUCACCCUGGUGACCCCAUGGGCCUCUUUGGGGUCCUCCACGUCCCCAAUGUCCCCAUUGGGGUCCUCUAUGUCCCAUUGGGGUCCUCCAUGUCCCACUGUGGUCUUUCACGUUCCACUGAGGUCCUCCAUGUCCACAUUGGGUCCCCAUGGUGUCUCCAUGUCCCAUUGGGGUCCCCAUGUCUCAUUGGGGUCCUCCACGUCCCAUUGGGGUCCCCAUGUCCCAUUGGGUCCCCAUGGUGUCUCCAUGUCCCAUUAGGGUCCCCAUGUCCCAUUGGGGUCCCCAUGUCCCAUUGGGGUCCUCCACGUCCCAUUGGGGUCCCCAUGUCCCAUUGUGGUCUCUCACAUUCCAUUGAUGUCUCCAUGUCCCAUUGGG